AAUUACCAACGAAUUAAUACGUCUGAGAUAAAAUUAUCUCGGAUCCGUUUAAUUAGUGAACACGGAUGGUCUAUUUUCAUCGGUGAUUAUCUCUUGGAAUAUAUACAGUGGCGAUAAUAGAGAGAUGGAGCUUACGGACAAGUUGCAUGAUAAGACCGACUGAGUACAUGGAUAUCCUGUAAGAUCGAUGAUCUCUAUUCGUGAUGCAAAAUUUGAAUGUAAAAUGUACAGGAAAUGCAACGGAAAAGGAUUCUUGAUUGUUAUUUAAAGCAUGAUUUUUAAUAAAACACUUACCAUUCAUUAGCUUACGAGCUUUAGUUAGAAAUAGACGAUAAUUAAGCAUCUGCAUGAGACGACUAUAUAAUGGCCCAUCGAUUCUUGGAACUUUAUUGCACAAGUCUACCUUAUAAGUUUCUAAAACGUUUCAUUUAGAAAAUCACAACAUAGACAACACGGUUGAGACCAAUGAGCAUGAUACAAUACAGAAGUAUACAUUCGAUAGUGAAGCAAAUAAGUAUAUCCAUUAAACAAUACUUCUUAUCGUACUCGAGAGAUUGCAACAUUGUGAAGGUACUUUGCUAGUUGGUUACAUCUACAAGAAACAAGGAUAUCCCGUGAGACUUGAAUGGAUUAUUUUGUUAGUUUGCUCAUGAUCUCAGACUGAUGGAGGGGAGGCAACAACAAAGACAGGGUCCACUGCAUUGGACUGAUCUUCUGAUACCAGCCUGGCAGAUUCUCCAAGUGCAGAGACACUCCACCAGCCAAAGUUAUUUCCCCUAUCACAAUUCCAGAAAACAGGGAAGCCAGAUACGUCCACUUACAUGUGUGAGCGAACAGUAUACAAAUAAAGUGCUGCAGGAUUAGAUACAUCAAGCCAAUGCUAAGGUAGUUCCAAAGAGACGUCAGAGUCUCAUCAGGCACAAGGUGAAGCCCAGACAUUGCAUAACCAGGAGCCAGAUAGAUCAGAUAAACUAUGCACCAAGACACUGCUCCGCAAACCAGCUGGAAACAAGGAGCAAAUUAGCAAUAAC